UACGUAGGGGGCAAGCGUUGUCCGGAAUCAUUGGGCGUAAAGCGCGUGUAGGCGGCUCGAUAAGUCUGCUGUGAAAGUCCAGGGCUCAACCCUGGGAUGCCGGUGGAUACUGUCGGGCUCGAGUACGGAAGAGGCGAGUGGAAUUCCUGGUGUAGCGGUGAAAUGCGCAGAUAUCAGGAGGAACACCAAUUGCGAAGGCAGCUCGCUGGGACGUUACUGACGCUGAGACGCGAAAGCGUGGGGAGCAAACAGG
rnacentral:rRNA from 1 species